rnacentral:rRNA from 1 species
AUGAGCUACUAUGUGUCAUGGAGAUGUUUAUUCCUGGUCCUCGGCAUACUGAACUCCAUGUUUCUGAGUUGUUCGGGCUGCUUCAUUGAGGAGAGAGCAGCCCUCAUGGAUAUUAGCUCUUGGUUCAUGAGCGUGCAGUACAUGGUUCCCACUUCUUGGGGAGGCGAUGAUGACUGCUGCUCGUGGGAAAGGGUCACAUGCAACAGUAGCACGCGACGAAUAUCGCAUCUUGACCUUUCCCAGGACUUGACCCCAUACUCGCCUAGUAUGGAAGACGAAAGCUCGAAUCUUAACUUGAAGAUUUUUUCUUCGUUUCGGGAGCUUCAGCUACUGGAUUUCUCUGGACAAGAAGCUAAUUUACAAAAUUUCGAGGGUCUCCAAGGAUUGAGUAAGCUCAAGUAUCUUGACCUCAGUGACAACCAAUUGUUCGGGGGUAUCCCAAGAUCCAUCGGCAGAUUGGUUUCUUUGGAAGCCAUAAAUCUCAAUCGAAACAACAUGGGUGGGGCUCUUCAGAAUAUAGGUUUCCAAAAUCUCCGGAACCUACGAGAAUUGCAUUUGAGAUCCAAUGGAUUGAGCGGUAGCCUCCCUGCAUCUUUAUUUGCGCUUCCAUUCCUUGAGCACUUGGAUCUUUCAGAAAACCUCUUUGAAGGACAUAUACCUAUAAACUCAUCUUGGAACCUGCGAGAACUUUAUUUGACAUCCAAUCAAUUGAGUGGUAGCAUCCCAGCAUCCCUAUUUGCACCCCUAUACCUUGAGUACUUGGAUCUUUCAGGAAACUUCUUGCAAGGACCUAUACCUAUAAACUCGUCUUGGAAAUGUUCCUCGUUGCUUAAAACUAUCAGGUUAUCUGAUAACAAGCUAAGCGGUCCAUUUGAUUUCUUCUGGAUAAGAAACUGCACGAAGCUCAAACAGAUAGAUCUGUCCAGGAAUACCGAUUUGGUUGUUCAAGUGAAAAUGCAUGGCUGGGUACCUAAAUUUAGAUUGAGAACACUAAAGCUCUCUUGGUGUAACCUUGACAAGAGCAUCAUUACAGAACCACAUUUCCUACGCACACAGCAUCGUCUGAAGUUUCUUGAUUUGUCCAACAAUAAUUUACCUGGAAGCAUGCCCAGUUGGCUGUUGACAAAUGAAGUGACACUAAUUUACCUGAAUCUUGCAAAUAACUUACUAGUUGGAUCAUUAGAUCUGAUAUGGCAACACCAAACCAAUCUCAAACUGGUGAACAUAUCUCUGAACCUAGUUGAAGGACAGCUGUCAGCCAACAUCAGUUUGAUGUUUCCUAAUCUGGUUGUUCUUGAUGUUUCCCACAAUAUUAUUUCUGGAACAAUACCACCAUCACUGUGCCACAUGAGCAACUUAUCAGUUAUGGACCUAUCAAAUAACAAAUUUACAGGAAAAGUGCCAUCUUGCUUGUUCACUGAUUGCCAUAGUCUGGAUAUAUUGAAGCUCUCAAACAAUACUCUCGGGGGCAAGAUAUUUGAUGGAGCUAGUAGCUUCUCUGCUGACCUGUGGGGAAUAUACCUAGACAACAACAAAUUUGAAGGGACUUUCCCUAGAAAUCUGUCUGGGGAUGUAGCCAUCAUGGAUUUACAUGGUAAUAAGAUGUCGGGAGAACUGGACACUUCAUUCUGGGAUCUUCCUGAACUGCGUGCUUUGAGCCUUGCUAGUAAUGGUUUAACUGGUGGCAUUCACCGAGGAAUUUGCAAAUUAACACUUCUUGAUAUGUUAGAUCUGUCAGACAACUACUUUACAGGGCGUAUGCCAAACUGCAGCACUUCAUUAUACCUCGAGUUUCUGAGUGUGUCUGGGAAUUCACUGUCAGGCUUGCCGGAUGUCUUUUUCAACAGCACCUACAUUACAGCUUUGGAUCUCAGCCAUAAUCAGUUCACAGGCAACCUUGACUGGAUGCUUUAUCUUACUCAAAUCAGUGUAAUUUUGUUAAGCAGAAAUAACUUUCAGGGGCAGAUCUCUUCAAAUCUGUGUAAUCUCCAACACUUGAGUAUAAUUGACAUUUCGAACAACAUACUUUCGGGUUCCAUACCACCAUGUAUUGGUGGCAUUCCAUUUGGACUCCUUGAUGAUGCUUAUGAAUACGAUGGUUGGCCCUCAGGUGGUAGUAGUACUUAUGAAUUGGGGGAUUAUGGUGUGGACUCACUGUAUAGCAGUGAGUAUGACCUCUCAGGCUUCACCUUCACAACUAAAGGGAACCCCUAUACAUACGGACGGAACUUCUUCAUGUCGAUGUCUGGCAUUGACUUUUCUGCAAACAUGCUGUCAGGUGAGAUUCCGAAGGAGAUAGGGAAUCUGAGCCACAUCAAGUCACUCAAUUUGUCGAACAAUUUAUUUACUGGACCAAUUCCUGCAACCUUCGCAAACAUGAGUGAGAUCGAAAGCUUAGACCUAUCAAAAAACAUGCUGAAUGGAUCGAUACCAUGGCAGAUAACUCGGCUAUCAUCGCUAGAGGUGUUCUCUGUGGCAGACAAUAACUUAUCGGGAUGUCUACCAGCCACUGGUCAGUUCAGCACAUUCGAUAUGAACAGUUACAAAGGGAACAACAACCUUAGAUCAUGCACUUCAAGUUCAGGUCCCAUGGCACCAAAUGGUGUUGCAGGAAGUGUGGCUGAUGAUUCUGACCCGAUCCUUUACGUGGUCGGUGCCAUUUCAUUCGUCUUGGCAUUUUGGGCCACUAUCACAUUCGUAUUCUGCCAUCCAUUUGGGCAGCGUCUUAUUCUCAAACUGUAA